rnacentral:lncRNA from 1 species
AUUUUUCUUAUCUCCUGCGCAGGGGCCUUCUUGGGCUUGCCCACCAACCCACUAAGGGCUGGUGCGGCACCCAUAAGGCCUAUGGCCUUCCCCCGGGUGGGCUGGCCCCCCCGGUAAACAUCCGGAACCCAUUCGUCACUCCCGGUACAUUUCCGGUAAUGCCGAAAACUUUCCGGUUAUCAAAUGAGGUCAUCCUAUAUAUCAAUCUUCGUCUCCGGACCAUUCUGGAAACCCUCGUGAUGUCCGUGAUCUCAUCCAGGACUCCGAACAACAUUCGGUAACCAACCAUA